GGCGCUCGCUGCUCUGCUAGCAACGUCACGCGGCAGCGAGGCGCCGAAGGACCGUGGGAGGUCGGCAGCUCUGCCCACCUGUGGGUCCGGCUGCGGGUGGGCGCCCCCAGCCAGCGCCCGGUUCUGUGGCGCCGGGAUUACGCGAGCCCCGGCGCCCGCGGCAGUCGGUGCCUGGAGGCCAGCUGCCCCUCGGGGGUCCCGGCCCACGGCCCUGGCAGCAGGGCGCGCCCGUUGGCAGUGCCCUCUGCGCAGUAUCGAGGAGCCUUCGCAAAGCGCUUGGGCCGCCCAUCUCUUCCCGUGCGCUGUUUUCUGAGAAUGUUGGUCUGCAUCUCCAGUCGCAAAGCUGUACCCUGAGAUGCACCAUUCCUGGCUAAUUUCACAUGUCACACAUGAGAAAAAGGGAUUGUACCACUUUGCACUCCCACCGGCAAAGUAUGAGAUUGUCACUCACUCCUCGCCUUGCCAAAAGAGUGUGCUGUCAAACCUUUGGAUUUGUCAGUUGGCUGUGAUGUGAUUUUAAUUUGCAUUUAUCUUACUAUGAGUAAGUUUGAACGUCUUUUUAUGUUUUUAAAAGUCAUCGAUAUUUCUUUUUCUAUGGCCUGUUUAUGUCAUUUGCUAAUAUUUCUAGUGGGUUAUUAGGUACUCUUUAUAUAUAGGUGAGAUUAGCCUUUGUUUGUUAUAAGAUUUGCAAUUUUUUUCAGGUUGUAAUUUGUCUUUUGGCUUUGUUUAUGGUGUGUUAUGCCACUCAGAAGUUAUUUUAUGUAGUAGAAUGAAUAUAAUCCUUUAUUUUAUGGUUUCAUAGCGUUAAUUAGACAGGCUUUCCUCUCUCCAAGUUUCUCAAAGACUUAUUCCACGUUUUCUUCUAGUCCUUUUUUUUGGAGGAAGAUUAGCCCUGAGCUAACUACUGCCAAUCCUCCUCUUUUUGCUGAGGAAGAC